UUCCGGUUGAUCCUGCCGGACCUGACUGCUAUCGGAUUGAUACUAAGCCAUGUGAGUCCUUGUAGCAAUACAAGGCAGACGGCUCAGUAACACGUAGUCAAUCUACCCUAUGGACGGGGAUAACCUCGGGAAACUGAGGAUAACACCCGAUAGAUCAUAAUGCCUGGAACGGUUUAUGGUCCAAAUGAUUCGUCGCCGUAGGAUGGGACUGCGGCCUAUCAGCUUGUUGGUGAGGUAAUGGCCCACCAAGGCUAUUACAGGUACGGGCUCUGAGAGGAGAAGCCCGGAGAUGGGUACUGAGACACGGACCCAGGCCCUAUGGGGCGCAGCAGGCGAGAAACCUUUGCAAUGUGCGCAAGCACGACAAGGUUAAUCCGAGUGUUUCCUGCUAAAGGAAUCUUUUGUUAGUUGUAAAACCACUAUCGAAUAAGGGGUGGGCAAGUUCUGGUGUCAGCCGCCGCGGUAAAACCAGCACCUCAAGUGGUCAGGAGGAUUAUUGGGCCUAAAGCAUCCGUAACCGGCUCAGUAAGUUUUCGGUUAAAUCUGUACGCUCAACGUACAGGCUGCCGGGAAUACUCAGAGCUAGGGAGUGGGAGAGGUAGACGGUACUCGGGAGGAAGUGGUAAAAUGCUUUGAUCUUUCGAUGACCACCUGUGGCGAAGGCGGUCUACCAGAACACGUUCGACGGUGAGGGAUGAAAGCUGGGGGAGCAAACCGGAUUAGAUACCCGGGUAGUCCCAGCUGUAAACGAUGCAGACUCGGUGAUGCCCUGGCUUGUGGCCAGUGCAGUGCCGCAGGGAAGCCGUUAAGUCUGCCGCCUGGGAAGUACGUACGCAAGUAUGAAACUUAAAGGAAUUGGCGGGGGAGCACCACAAGGGGUGAAGCCUGCGGUUCAAUUGGAUUCAACGCCGGG
rnacentral:rRNA from 1 species